AUGAACGCUGGCGGUGUGCCUUAGGCAUGCAAGUCGAACGCUCUGUAGCAAUACAGAGAGUGGCAAACGGGUGAGUAAUGCGUAGGAAUUUACCUCGAAGUGGGGGAUAGCCCGCCGAAAGGCGGAGUAAUACCGCAUGUGAUCGCAAGAUCAAAGUCGCAAGACGCUUUGAGAGAAGCCUACGUCCUAUCAGGUAGUUGGUGGGGUAAUAGCCUACCAAGCCUAUGACGGGUAGCCGAUGUGAGAGCAUGAUCGGCCACAAGGUCACUGAGAUACGGGGCCUACACCUACGGGUGGCAGCAACCGGGAAUUUUGCGCAAUGGACGAAAGUCUGACGCAGCGACGCCGCGUGUGGGAUGACGGCCUUCGGGUUGUAAACCACUGUGGCGAGGGAAGAACUAAUGACGGUACCUCGCUAGAAAGCACCUGCUAACCACGUGCCAGAAGCCUCGGUAAUACGUGGGGUGCUAGCGUUAUCCGGAUUUACUGGGCGUAAAGGGUCCGUCGGUGGCCCGGCAAGUCUGAUGUUUAAGCUCAAGGCCUAACUUUGAACUGGCAUCAGAUACUGUUGGGAUCGAGUGUGUUCGAGGAAGCUGGAAUUCUCGGUGGAGGGGUGAAAUCCGUAGAUAUCGAGAGGAACGCCUAUUGCGAAAGCAGGCUUCUAGGACAUUACUGACACUCAUGGACGAAAGCUAGGGUAGCAAAAGGGAUUAGAGACCCCUGUAGUCCUAGCCGUAAACUCUCCUUGCUAGUUGCUCCAUUUUUAAUGGGGUGACGUAAGUUAACGCGUUAAGCAAGGCGCCUGGGGAGUACGACCGCAAGGUUAAAACUCAAAGGAAUUGACGGGGGAGCGCACAACCGGUGGAGCAUGUGGUUUAAUUCGAGACGAAGCGAAAAACCUUACCCAGGUUUGACAUCUAGCUGCAAAGUUUAGGAAACUAAACCUCUUUCGAAGGUGCUAGACAGGUGAUGCAUGGCUGUCGUCAGCUCGUGUCGUGAGACGUCCUCUUAAGUGAGGUAACGAGCGCAACCCCUAUCGUCAGUUAUACGUGUCUGGCGAAACUGCCCCGCUUCUAGCGGGGAGGAAGGAGGGGACGACGUCAAGUCAGCAUGUCCCUUACAUCUGGGGCAACACACAUCCUACAAUGGAGCCGACAACGGGUAGCGAGGCCGCGAGGCCAAGCCAAUCCUUAUAAACGGCUCCUCAGUUCAGAUUGCAGGCUGCAAUUCGCCUGCAUGAAGUCGGAAUCGGUAGUAAUCGCAAAUCAUCAGGUUGCGGUGAAUACGUUCUCGCUCCUUGUACACACUGCCCGUCAAGCCAGCAAAGUUGGCAACGCCCGAAGCGGAUGACCCUAACUCGCAAGAGGAGGGCUCUUCUACGGCGAGGUCGGCGAUGAGGACU
rnacentral:rRNA from 1 species